rnacentral:rRNA from 1 species
GACGAACCGUGCGAACGUUGUUCGGAUUCACUGGGCUUAAAGGGCGCGUAGGCGGGUGAUCAAGUCCGGGGGUGAAAUCCUUCAGCUCAACUGGAGAAUAGCCUUGGAUACUGGUCGCCUCGAGGGAGGUAGGGGCGGGCGGAACUUCCGGUGGAGCGGUGAAAUGCGUAGAUAUCGGAAGGAACGCCGGUGGCGAAAGCGGCCCGCUGGACCUCUUCUGACGCUGAGGCGCGAAAGCCAGGGGAGCGAACGGG